GACGAACGCUGGCGGCGUGCCUAAUACAUGCAAGUCGAGCGAAUCUCGAGGAGCUUGCUCCUUGAGGUUAGCGGCGGACGGGUGAGUAACACGUGGGCAACCUGCCUGUAAGACUGGGAUAACACCGGGAAACCGGUGCUAAUACCGGAUAAUCCAUUCCCUCACACGAGGGAAUGCUGAAAGACGGUUUCGGCUGUCACUUACAGAUGGGCCCGCGGCGCAUUAGCUAGUUGGUGAGGUAACGGCUCACCAAGGCGACGAUGCGUAGCCGACCUGGGAGGGUGAUCGGCCACACUGGGACUGAGACACGGCCCAGACUCCUACGGGAGGCAGCAGUAGGGAAUCUUCCGCAAUGGACGAAAGUCUGACGGAGCAACGCCGCGUGAGCGAUGAAGGCCUUCGGGUCGUAAAGCUCUGUUGUUAGGGAAGAAUAAGUAUCGGAGUAACUGCCGGUACCUUGACGGUACCUAACCAGAAAGCCACGGCUAACUACGUGCCAGCCGCCGCCGUAACAC
rnacentral:rRNA from 1 species